rnacentral:lncRNA from 1 species
CGGGGCAGUCGCGGGAUGCGCCCGGGAGCCGCAGCCUGAGGCCCUCAGGUCUCUGCAGGUGUCGUGGAGGAACCUAGCACCUGCCAUCCUCUUCCCCAAUUUGCCACUUCCAGCAGGCCCAUUGUGGACCUCAUUGGUGCCAUGGAGACCCAGUCUGAGCCCUCUGAGUUAGAACUGGACGAUGUCGUUAUCACCAACCCCCACAUUGAGGCCAUUCUGGAGAAUGAAGACUGGAUCGAAGAUGCCUCGGGUCUCAUGUCCCACUGCAUUGCCAU